AUUUGUCUCUGUUUUUGAACACUCCAGCAGUUCUCCAUUUCUUCCAGUGAGAGAAGUUAACGAGUUGGCAUUUCCAUGAGACAUCGAGAUGGUGGGGGAAAAUCCUUUGAAUCAACAUGCUAUGAAGGGUAAUCCCAGACAGUCUUGCCGUCAGGUAGGAGUUCUAUGGCACAAUCGUAAGGACGAUGAGGGGAAGGGUGGCAGCCUGCCUCUUACUGAAGGCCACCCGGAGAUCGAAGUAUUCGGGAGGGAGAGCGGAAAAGUCUUGGUCUUCAAGGGAUGCAGGAGGACACGGCGAGGCUCUUGCCAUCAGCCCAGAACAUCCUGAAGACAGAAAAUCUAAACGAUCAUCUGGGAAUCCUUUCUUCCUCAUAGUGCUUUUUGAAAGCUAUGAAAAAGACAAAUGACAUGACAUUGACUCCUGAGUGUUGAACUUUUGCCCACUCUAUAGCCACCCUGGUUAUAUUCUGACCCUGCUGGUCAUCUACGAACAUUGGAACAUCUUAAAUAACAAUAAGGGGCACAUGUACUCUUAAAUGUGCACUUAGCACAGCCCUCAGAGCACGGUUAUUUGAUUGGUCUUGUGCUUUUAGACUGGUAUCUGUAAAACACUUUGUGACAACUGCUGAUACAAAAAGGGUUUUUAAGAAAUACAUUUGAUUAAAAGACAUUCUGAAA